rnacentral:rRNA from 1 species
UACGUAGGGUGCGAGCGUUAAUCGGAAUUACUGGGCGUAAAGCGUGCGCAGGUGGUCAUGCAAGACAGAUGUGAAAUCCCCGGGCUUAACCUGGGAACUGCAUUUGUGACUGCACGGCUAGAGUGCGGCAGAGGGGGAUGGAAUUCCGCGUGUAGCAGUGAAAUGCGUAGAUAUGCGGAGGAACACCUGCGGCGAAGGCGGGACU